UACGUAGGGUGCAAGCGUUAAUCGGAAUUACUGGGCGUAAAGCGUGCGCAGGCGGUUUUGUAAGUCAGAUGUGAAAUCCCCGGGCUCAACCUGGGAACUGCGUUUGAAACUACAAGGCUAGAGUGUAGCAGAGGGGGGUAGAAUUCCACGUGUAGCAGUGAAAUGCGUAGAGAUGUGGAGGAAUACCAAUGGCGAAGGCAGCCCCCUGG
rnacentral:rRNA from 1 species